GAUGAACGCUAGCUACAGGCUUAACACAUGCAAGUCGCGGGGCAGCAUGGGGGUUGCUUGCAACCCCUGAUGGCGACCGGCGCACGGGUGAGUAACGCGUAGCCAACCUGCCCUUCACCACGGGAUAACCCGGCGAAAGUCGGACUAAUACCGUAUGUUGUCCAUUGACGGCACCCGAUGUGGACGAAAGGCUUGGCGGUGAAGGGGUGGGGUGGCGUCCGAUUAGCUUGACGGCGGGGUACCGGCCCACCGUGGCUACGAUCGGUAGGGGUUCUGAGAGGAAGGUCCCCCACACUGGAACUGAGACACUGUCCAGACUCCUACGGGAGGCAGCAGUGAGGAAUAUUGGUCAAUGGGCGUAAGCCUGAACCAGCCAAGUAGCGUGCAGGAUGACGGCCCUAUGGGUUGUAAACUGCUUUUAUGCGGGGAUAAAGUGGCCCACGUGUGGGCUUUUGCAGGUACCGCAUGAAUAAGGACCGGCUAAUUCCGUG
rnacentral:rRNA from 1 species